UACGGAGGGGGCUAGCGUUGUUCGGAAUUACUGGGCGUAAAGCGCACGUAGGCGGCUUUGUAAGUUAGAGGUGAAAGCCCGGGGCUCAACCCCGGAACUGCCUUUAAGACUGCAUCGCUUGAAUCCAGGAGAGGUGAGUGGAAUUCCGAGUGUAGAGGUGAAAUGCGUAGAUAUCGGGAGGAACACCAGUGGCGAAGGCGGCCUUCUGGGCUUGUCCUGACGCUGAGGCGCGAAAGCGUGGGGAGCGAACCGG
rnacentral:rRNA from 1 species